GAACGCUGGCGGCGUGCCUAAUACAUGCAAGUCGAACGGUCUUUUCUAUGGAAGCUUGCUUCCACUGAGAAGAUAGUGGCGAACGGGUGAGUAACACGUGGGUAACCUGCCCAUAAGAGGGGGAUAGCAUCCGGAAACGGGUGCUAAUACCGCAUAGUUUUCUUGAUCGCAUGAUCGAGAAAGGAAAGACGGCCUUUGUGCUGUCGCUUAUGGAUGGACCCGCGGCGUAUUAGUUAGUUGGUGAGGUAACGGCUCACCAAGACGAUGAUACGUAGCCGACCUGAGAGGGUGAUCGGCCACAUUGGGACUGAGACACGGCCCAAACUCCUACGGGAGGCAGCAGUAGGGAAUCUUCCGCAAUGGACGAAAGUCUGACGGAGCAACGCCGCGUGAGUGAAGAAGGUUUUCGGAUCGUAAAACUCUGUUGUCAGAGAAGAACAAGUCGGAGAGUAACUGCUCCGGCCUUGACGGUAUCUGACCAGAAAGCCACGGCUAACUACGUGCCAGCAGCCGCGGUAAUACGUAGGUGGCAAGCGUUGUCCGGAUUUAUUGGGCGUAAAGCGAGCGCAGGCGGUUCCUUAAGUCUGAUGUGAAAGCCCACGGCUCAACCGUGGAAGGUCAUUGGAAACUGGGGAACUUGAGUGCAGAAGAGGAGA
rnacentral:rRNA from 1 species